AACUGCAGAACUAGAGUGCGGCAGAGGGAGGUGGAAUUCCAUGUGUAGCAGUGAAAUGCGUAGAGAUAUGGAAGAACAUCGAUGGCGAAGGCAACCUCCUGGGCUAGCACUGACGCUCAUGCACGAAAGCGUGGGGAGCAAACAGGAUUAGAUACCCUGGUAGUCCACGCCCUAAACUAUGUCAACUAGUUGUCGGGUCUUAUUGGGCUUGGUAACGUAGCUAACGCGUGAAGUUGACCGCCUGGGGAGUACGGUCGCAAGAUUAAAACUCAAAGGAAUUGACGGGGACCCGCACAAGCGGUGGAUUAUGUGGAUUAAUUCGAUGCAACGCGAAAAACCUUACCUACCCUUGACAUGUCAGAAAGUUUCCAGAGAUGGAAUCGUGCUCGAAAGAGAAUUUGAACACAGGUGCUGCAUGGCUGUNGUCAGCUCGUGUCGUGAGAUGUUGGGCUAAGUCCCGCAACGAGCGCAACCCUUGUCAUUAAUUGCCAUCAUUUAGUUGGGCACUUUAAUGAGACUGCCGGUGAUAAACCGGAGGAAGGUGGGGAUGACGUCAAGUCCUCAUGGCCCUUA
rnacentral:rRNA from 1 species